GACGAACGCUGGCGGCGUGGAUUAGGCAUGCAAGUCGAACGGUAGGAUACCUUCGGGUAUCUGAGAGUGGCGAACGGGUGAGUAACACGUAGGUGAUCUACCCUCAAGAUUGGGACAACCCAGGGAAACUUGGGCUAAUACCGGAUGAAAGCAGCAGUGAUGUUGUUUGAAAGGUGGCGUAAGCUGCCGUUUGGGGAUGAGCCUGCGCUCUAUUAGUUAGUUGGCGGGGUAAAGGCCCACCAAGGCGAUGAUAGAUAGGCGGCCUUAACGGGUGGUCGCCCACACUGGGAUUGAGAUACGGCCCAGACUCCUACGGGAGGCAGCAGUCGAGAAUAGUCUACAAUGGCCGAAAGGCUGAUAGUGCGACGCCGCGUGAACGAAGAAGCCCUUCGGGGUGUAAAGUUCUUUUAAUAUGGUAGCAGUGCUUUUCUAUGUGAACAGCAUGGGGAAGAGAUAUUAGCAUAUGAAUAAGCAAACGGCUAACUCCGUGCCAGCAGCCG
rnacentral:rRNA from 1 species